GUCGGCCACCAGGCAGACAGUUUUCUGUUUUCUAGGCCUGUAUCUCGCAAUGGAAUGCAGUAUCUCGCAAUUUCUUGGCUUGCAAUGUCUCUGUACUUUUGAAAAGCAGGACCUACCAUCAAUGAAUAGGCUAGGAUAUUCUACACGCAACAGACCGAAGACUGAACACACUAACAUAGUUAGCGAAGAGAAAGAGCAGGGGCGUCAUCAUUAGUCCAAACAGUUGCGAAACGAAACGUUUCGAUUGGACAAAUUCAGUUCCUGAAACAUGUCAAUGACCUGAUGCAUGGCCUCUACAGCAGUCCUUGGCCACCUACUUCGUUACCAGUGACCUAUUCUGCCACAUCCCAGCUAAAGAAGAAAGGAAAGAGAUUUGCCAAUUACACCAAUUUCUAACAAUGUUUGUUGCAGGAAUGAUAUGACAUACCAACAUAACUUUAGAAAAUCAUAAUAUUUUAUUGUCUCUCUAUACAUACCUCGAUUUUUGCAUGUACCUUUCUCUUUUUAAAGACUGCCAAGCUGUCCUCAAGUUUGGGAACUUCUGUCUGGGACAAUGUCCUCAGGAUUAUGGAGUGGUGUGAUUAAAAAAUGUUGUUUGAAUAUUAAGCAAAACUUUAACGUUUAGAGAUGAGUAAAAAAAUCAUGUCCAACUAGUCAAAUUUUUGAUAUCCUCUUUCUUAAAAUGUUUGAGAUUUAGUUAAUGUCCCACUUCAAUAUGAAGGGACAAAGGAGAAAACAUUCCUCUGACACCACUCGUGUGCUCCAUUGUAAUUGGUAAGUAAAUGUGAGCAGUUGAGACAUUUGGCAUAGACAAUGAGACAUUUUUUUGUAGAUUCUGACUGUUAAAGAUAUUUUACUGUGCGCUACUGUUAUGUCGUGUCCUUAGUGCCCACAUUAUGCCAAUCAUUCAUUUAUUUUCUUCUCUUUUUAAGCUUACAGUAAGUGCAAUGAAAAGCCAGAAAAGUCAGGAGGUUGGAGUUCUAAAAUAUGCCAUUGACGUCGGAGUGGAUGAGGCCGCAAAAGCUGACCCGUCACACCACUCUUCAAGAGGGCCACUACGCGCCAGAUCAACUCCUGUGCUCAGUCCUCGAUGAGGAUCUACCCCAUUACACCACUAAUUAAUCAUUAAUACAGUUUUUUUUGAUCGGGCCUUUAUAUACUCUGUCCUAGUCUUUCUAUGCAUAUAAUGUCUUGGAUUAUGAAACAAGGACUUGUAUGCAGAUGUGCUAAAAAUGUUCAAAUGUAAGAAUAUGCUGCAGAUGUAAUCUUAA